GACACGGUCCAAACUCCUACGGGAGGCAGCAGUGAGGAAUAUUGGUCAAUGGACGAGAGUCUGAACCAGCCAAGUAGCGUGAAGGAUGACUGCCCUAUGGGUUGUAAACUUCUUUUAUAUGGGAAUAAAGUUGUCCACGUGUGGAUUUUUGUAUGUACCAUAUGAAUAAGGAUCGGCUAACUCCGUGCCAGCAGCCGCGGUAAUACGGAGGAUCCGAGCGUUAUCCGGAUUUAUUGGGUUUAAAGGGAGCGUAGGCGGAUUGUUAAGUCAGUUGUGAAAGUUUGCGGCUCAACCGUAAAAUUGCAGUUGAUACUGGCAGUCUUGAGUGCAGUAGAGGUGGGCGGAAUUCGUGGUGUAGCGGUGAAAUGCUUAGAUAUCACGAAGAACUCCGAUUGCGAAGGCAGCUCACUGGAGUGUAACUGACGCUGAUGCUCGAAAGUGUGGGUAUCAAACAGGAUUAGAUACCCUGGUAGUCCACACAGUAAACGAUGAAUACUCGCUGUUUGCGAUAUACAGUAAGCGGCCAAGCGAAAGCGUUAAGUAUUCCACCUGGGGAGUACGCCGGCAACGGUGAAACUCAAAGGAAUUGACGGGGGCCCGCACAAGCGGAGGAACAUGUGGUUUAAUUCGAUGAUACGCGAGGAACCUUACCCGGGCUUGAACUGCAGGCGGACGAUUCAGAGAUGAUGAGGCCCUUCGGGGUGCCUGUGGAGGUGCUGCAUGGUUGUCGUCAGCUCGUGCCGUGAGGUGUCGGCUUAAGUGCCAUAACGAGCGCAACCCUUGUUCGUAGUUGCCAUCGGUUAAAGCCGGGCACUCUGCGAAGACUGCCUCCGUAAGGAGUGAGGAAGGUGGGGAUGACGUCAAAUCAGCACGGCCCUUACGUCCGGGGCUACACACGUGUUACAAUGGGGGGUACAGAAGGCCGCUACCUGGUGACAGGAUGCCAAUCCCAAAAACCUCUCUCAGUUCGGAUCGAAGUCUGCAACCCGACUUCGUGAAGCUGGAUUCGCUAGUAAUCGCGCAUCAGCCAUGGCGCGGUGAAUACGUUCCCGGGCCUUGUACACACCGCCCGUCAAGCCAUGAAAGCCGGGGGCGCCUAAAGUCCGUGACCGCGAGGGUCGGCCUAGGGUGAAACCGGUGAUUGGGGCUAAGUCGUAACAAGGUAGCCGUACCGGAAGGUGCGGCUG
rnacentral:rRNA from 1 species